rnacentral:rRNA from 1 species
UUGAACGCUGGCGGCAGGCCUAACACAUGCAAGUCGAACGGUAACAGGAAGAAGCUUGCUUCUUUGCUGACGAGUGGCGGACGGGUGAGUAAUGUCUGGGAAACUGCCUGAUGGAGGGGGAUAACUACUGGAAACGGUAGCUAAUACCGCAUAACGUCGCAAGACCAAAGAGGGGGACCUUCGGGCCUCUUGCCAUCGGAUGUGCCCAGAUGGGAUUAGCUAGUAGGUGGGGUAACGGCUCACCUAGGCGACGAUCCCUAGCUGGUCUGAGAGGAUGACCAGCCACACUGGAACUGAGACACGGUCCAGACUCCUACGGGAGGCAGCAGUGGGGAAUAUUGCACAAUGGGCGCAAGCCUGAUGCAGCCAUGCCGCGUGUAUGAAGAAGGCCUUCGGGUUGUAAAGUACUUUCAGCGGGGAGGAAGGGAGUAAAGUUAAUACCUUUGCUCAUUGACGUUACCCGCAGAAGAAGCACCGGCUAACUCCGUGCCAGCAGCCGCGGUAAUACGGAGGGUGCAAGCGUUAAUCGGAAUUACUGGGCGUAAAGCGCACGCAGGCGGUUUGUUAAGUCAGAUGUGAAAUCCCCGGGCUCAACCUGGGAACUGCAUCUGAUACUGGCAAGCUUGAGUCUCGUAGAGGGGGGUAGAAUUCCAGGUGUAGCGGUGAAAUGCGUAGAGAUCUGGAGGAAUACCGGUGGCGAAGGCGGCCCCCUGGACGAAGACUGACGCUCAGGUGCGAAAGCGUGGGGAGCAAACAGGAUUAGAUACCCUGGUAGUCCACGCCGUAAACGAUGUCGACUUGGAGGUUGUGCCCUUGAGGCGUGGCUUCCGGAGCUAACGCGUUAAGUCGACCGCCUGGGGAGUACGGCCGCAAGGUUAAAACUCAAAUGAAUUGACGGGGGCCCGCACAAGCGGUGGAGCAUGUGGUUUAAUUCGAUGCAACGCGAAGAACCUUACCUGGUCUUGACAUCCACGGAAGUUUUCAGAGAUGAGAAUGUGCCUUCGGGAACCGUGAGACAGGUGCUGCAUGGCUGUCGUCAGCUCGUGUUGUGAAAUGUUGGGUUAAGUCCCGCAACGAGCGCAACCCUUAUCCUUUGUUGCCAGCGGUCCGGCCGGGAACUCAAAGGAGACUGCCAGUGAUAAACUGGAGGGAGGUGAGGAUGACGUCAAGUCAUCAUGGCCCUUACGACCAGGGCUACACACGUGCUACAAUGGCGCAUACAAAGAGAAGCGACCUCGCGAGAGCAAGCGGACCUCAUAAAGUGCGUCGUAGUCCGGAUUGGAGUCUGCAACUCGACUCCAUGAAGUCGGAAUCGCUAGUAAUCGUGGAUCAGAAUGCCACGGUGAAUACGUUCCCGGGCCUUGUACACACCGCCCGUCACACCAUGGGAGUGGGUUGCAAAAGAAGUAGGUAGCUUAACCUUCGGGAGGGCGCUUACCACUUUGUGAUUCAUGACUGGGGUG